GCACGGACCAAGGAGUCCAACAUGUGCGCGAGUCUAAGGGCGGUCUAAACCCGGAGGCGAAAUGAAAGUGAGCCCCUCGUGGGCAGGCCGAUCCCCUGUCCGGCUGCCGGGCUGGCCGCUGGUUGUCGGGUGAGCGAGUUUCCCCGGCGACCGGGCCGGCUCCGGUGCCGGGCAGCGCCGGCUCGUCCGGCGUUUCAGGGGCGCAGGCCGAGGACUUGCCGUUGUGCGGCGCGGGCCACGGGUUGGCUCCGGCCUUCCUUAUCCCGAUGUCCGCCGGCAAGUACCUGAGAGCGCAGCCGUUGGGACCCGAAAGAUGGUGAACUAUGCCUGGCGAGGACGAAGCCAGAGGAAACUCUGGUGGAGGUCCGAAGCAGUUCUGACGUGCAAAUCGAUUGUCAGAGCUGGGUAUAGGGGCGAAAGACUAAUCGAACCAUCUAGUAGCUGGUUCCCUCCGAAGUUUCCCUCAGGAUAGCUGGCGUUGGAUGGAAUGAGUUUCAUCCGGUAAAGCGAAUGAUUAGAGGCCUUGGUGGUGCAAUGCCGUCAACCUAUUCUCAAACUUUAAAUGGGUGAGACGUAGAGCUUGCUUGAGACGUGAAGCUUUAUGAUGUCGAAUCAGAAUGCCUAGUGGGCCACU
rnacentral:rRNA from 1 species